GACGAACGCUGGCGGCGUGCCUAACACAUGCAAGUCGAACGGAACUGUUUUGAAAGAUUUCUUCGGAAUGAAUUUGAUUUAGUUUAGUGGCGGACGGGUGAGUAACGCGUGAGUAACCUGCCUUCAAGAGGGGAAUAACAUUCUGAAAAGAAUGCUAAUACCGCAUGACAUAUCGGAACCACAUGGUUUUGAUAUCAAAGAUUUUAUCGCUUGAAGAUGGACUCGCGUCCGAUUAGUUAGUUGGUGAGGUAACGGCUCACCAAGACCGCGAUCGGUAGCCGGACUGAGAGGUUGAACGGCCACAUUGGGACUGAGACACGGCCCAGACUCCUACGGGAGGCAGCAGUGGGGGAUAUUGCGCAAUGGGGGCAACCCUGACGCAGCAACGCCGCGUGAAGGAUGAAGGUUUUCGGAUUGCAAACUUCUUUUAUUAAGGACGAAAAAUGACGGUACUUAAUGAAUAAGCUCCGGCUAACUACGUG
rnacentral:rRNA from 1 species